rnacentral:rRNA from 1 species
AGCAGCCGCGGUAAUUCCAGCUCCAAUAGCGUAUAUUAAAGUUGUUGCAGUUAAAAGGCUCGUAGUUGAAUUUCGAGAUCAAUAUGUUGGUCGUGCCUCGGUACGUACUUGCAUCAUUGAUUUCUCCCUUCUGAUGAACCAUGAUGCCAUUAAUUUGGUGUCUUGGGGAAUCAGGACUGUUACUUUGAAAAAAUUAGAGUGUUUAAAGCAGGCUCACGCUUGAAUACAUUAGCAUGGAAUAAUGAAAUAGGACGUUUGAUUCUAUUUUGUUGGUUUCUAGGAUCGACGUAAUGAUUAAUAGGGAUAGUUGGGGGCAUUAGUAUUCAAUUGUCAGAGGUGAAAUCCUUGGAUUUAUUGAAGACUAACUACUGCGAAAGCAUUUGCCAAGGAUGUUUUCAUUAAUCAAGAACGAAAGUUAGGGGAUCGAAGACGAUCAGAUACCGUCGUAGUCUUAACCAUAAACUAUGCCGACUAGGGAUCGGAUGAUGUUAAUUUUUUAAUGUA